GGAGCCAUAGUUCAGUGGUAAAAUCCAUGUUUUACACAUAGGAGGUCCCAGCUUCAACCCCUGGCGCCUCCG